AAUAAAUGCAGAAAGAAGAAUGUGGAAGGACUGGACUGGGAAAGUCUUCUGGCCUUCAUCUUUCUUCCAUCCUGAAUGCUUCCUGCCCUCGACCAUCGGACUUCAAGUUCUUCAGCUUUUGGGCUCUUGGACUUACACUAUUGGUUUUCCGGGGGCUCUCGGUCCAUCAGCCACAGGCUGAAGCCUGCAUCAUCAGCUUCCCUAUACUUUUGAGGUUUUGGGACUCAGACUGGCUUCCUGGUUCCUCAGCUUGCAGACAGCCUACUGUGGGACUUCACCAUGUGACCCUCAAUACUGAACAACGCCACCUCAGUGGGUCUGACAGAAGACAGAAGAAUUAAAGUUUAAUUGUGCAUUUCCAAGAACAUGUCAAUGCUAUAAAGGACUUACUAUACUUUCAGCCAACAACUGAGCCUAGGACAUCUCUGAACAUACAGUGGUGAGUGGCACAGCCUAGACCACGGUGACUAGAUUGUCUGCGGCAGAAAAAUUGUCUUUUGAAUUUUGAUCCCAAGAUUGGUGAUGGUGAGGGAUAGUCUUCUUCUGUCUAGUUGUGACACUUUGGGCAACUUAAAUUCUAUACAUUGCUUGCUUCUUAUCUGUAAAAUGAAAAACAAGCAAAUAUCAAAUUAUUGUUGUGUAAUUGAAUGAGUCAAGGUGUAUAACUUAUGCAGUAUAGUUUUUAAUACUUUGAAGUGGCUUGAAACAUGUUUUGUUCCCUUUCUGAGGCUGUCUGUGGCCAAUGAAACUCUGAUAAUAAUAAUAAAUCUGAGACUCUUUUAUUUGAAUACAGUUUGAGGCAUUUCAUAAGUAACCAUUACAUUGUUUUGCCAAUUGUUCCCCCAUAUAAAGUAGUUGAGAAUUUGAUUAGCUUAGUAGGACUCAGUUUUAUGGCUACAACCUCCACCUCCCAGGUUCAAGUGAUCCUCCUGCCUCAGCCCCUAGAGUAACUGGGAUUACAGGCGCCCAGCACCACACCCGGCUAAUUUUUGUAUUUUUAGUAGAGACAGGGUUUCACCAUGUUGGCCAGGAUGGUCUUGAACUCUUGACCCCAGAUGAUCCACCCACCUCGACCUCCCAAAGUGAUGGGAUUACGGGUGUGAGCCACCAUGCCUGGCCUCUUUCCUUCUUUUAAUUAUUCCUCUCAGUCUUUCUGUCUCUCAUUCUAUUAGUUAUUUCACUUUUCCUUCAAGUUAUAUAGAAGUUGAAAUAUAUGAGUUAGUGAGCAAAAUACAAUAAACCUGUAACAUUUUUUUUAUAUAUAGCUCAUUGAUUGAUAUAAACUAUUUGAUCACGGAAAUAUGACCAUGUAAAUCAAACAACUUAGAUACUAUUUACUUUGCCAUUACUUCUAAUGGCAAAAACCACAGUUACUUUUGUAUCAACCUAAUGCAUAAUACAUAAUUACAUUUGUAUCUACCUAAUACAUAAAAAUUGAGCUAUUAUAGAGGGCUUAUGCUUCAGUGCAGUUUUUACAUUGAUUUAUAAAAAGUAAAUUUCAAUGACUUUUUUGUUGGUAAUCUGUAUUGUUCUGAACUGUUCUUUUGGUACCAUAUUUUUGUUUGGAAGUAGUGGAUGUAUAUUUGAUCUAUUAUUUCUUAACAUUGGGUAAUUUGAUUAUUUUAAGAGUAGAUAUUUAUUAUUCCCCUGAUUGUUAAAAAGUAAUAAUGGCAUGUAACAAGAGUAUAAUGAAAAUACUUGUUCCAAACGUGUAAUAUUUAUCAAACUGACUUGAUUAUCUAUACACAUAUAUGCACACGAUAUUAUAAAGUGUUAAUCAUUUUAUGAAGAGAUGUUUUUUCAUUAGAAUGCAUUUUCCCUCAUAAUUUUAGAUUCUUUUUUUCUAUAUUAAUAUGACAUUUUGAUUCUUCUUCAAAUUAGCAGUGAAGAACUUUUCUUAUUGGCGGUCUUAUUUUGCUGCUUUUUCUCCCAUCAUCUCUAUAAUGACUGUGCUGAGCAUCACAAUUGUUUGAGACAGUUUUACUUGCAUUUCCUGGAGGCACUUCCCCUUUAACUUCUAUAUAAGAUCAAUAUUUAAUCACCUUUUUAAAAUCUAAAUUUAUACCAUGUCUCUCCAAAACGAACUAUUUGUCUAUCAUGUGCUGUUUCUUCAUAUUUUAAGUCCUAAAUGGAUUAGAGGUAAUAAUUGAGUGUAAGUUUCAAAGAAAAUAUGACUGCUUGAAAGAAUAAAUUGAAUGUGUGGAAAAUUAAAUUUUUCACUUAAUACAAUUAAUAAAGGUCACAUUCUUCAUAUAUGUGUAAGUGUUCAACUUAUACUUGAUUAGGAGUUAGGCAAUACAAUGUAUAUGGCAAUUAAUUAAAAAAAAUUCAUGAAUAU
rnacentral:lncRNA from 10 species